rnacentral:rRNA from 1 species
GAGUUUGAUCCUGGCUCAGGAUGAACGCUAGCGGGAGGCUUAACACAUGCAAGUCGAGGGGUAUAGUAGCAAUACUAGAGACCGGCGCACGGGUGAGUAACGCGUAUGCAACCUGCCCUUUACAGGAGGAUAGCCCGCUGAAAGGCGGAUUAAUACUCCAUAAUAUGGUACUACUGCAUGGUAGAACUAUAAAAGCUUAGGCGGUAAAGGAUGGGCAUGCGUGACAUUAGCUAGUUGGUAGGGUAACGGCCUACCAAGGCUACGAUGUCUAGGGGUUCUGAGAGGAAGGUCCCCCGCACUGGUACUGAGACACGGACCAGA